rnacentral:rRNA from 1 species
UACAGAGGGUGCGAGCGUUAAUCGGAAUUACUGGGCGUAAAGGGCGCGUAGGCGGCCACCGCAAGUCAGUUGUGAAAUCUCUGGGCUUAACCCAGAACGGUCAGCUGAUACUGCGGGCUAGAGUGCAGAAGGGGCAACUGGAAUUCUCGGUGUAGCGGUGAAAUGCGUAGAUAUCGAGAGGAACACCUGCGGCGAAGGCGGGUUGCUGGGCUGACACUGACGCUGACAGCGCGAAAGCUAGGGGAGCGAACGGG